AUUGAACGCUGGCGGUAUGCUUAACACAUGCAAGUCGAACGAUGAGAAAGAGCUUGCUCUUUCGAUUAGUGGCGGACGGGUGCGUAACGCGUAGGAAUCUACCUAUUAGUGGGGGACAACUUAGGGAAACUUAAGCUAAUACCGCAUACGCCCUACGGGGGAAAGAAGGGGAUCGCAAGACCUUUUGCUAAUAGAUGAGCCUGCGUAGGAUUAGCUAGUUGGUGGGGUAAAAGCUCACCAAGGCGACGAUCCUUAACUGGUUUGAGAGAAUGAUCAGUCACACUGGAUCUGAGACACGGUCCAGACUCCUAUGGGAGGCAGCAGUGGGGAAUAUUGGACAAUGGGCGAAAGCCUGAUCCAGCAAUACCGCGUGUGUGAAGAAGGCCUUAGGGUUGUAAAGCACUUUCAAUUGGAAGGAAAACCUCGAAGCUAAUACCUUCGAGUUUGACAUUACCUUUAGAAGAAGCACCGGCUAACUCCGUGCCAGCAGCCGCGGUAA
rnacentral:rRNA from 1 species